GGGAAGCAGAAGCAGGACCACAUCCGGCUCCUCCACGCUCUCCUUGUGUGGUCUCGGACACGUUACUCUGUGCUUCUGAGACUCAGCUCCCUUGUCUCCAAGGAGAGCCGGCCGUAUCCACUUGGGAUGAAGAUGAGGACGAUGAUGGUGGUCGGGAGGAGGCUGGUGCUGUCGGUGGAGGCUCCGGAGAGAGAAGGAUGCAGAGAAGCCCUACGAUGGAUCGUGGAGACAGAAUAAAUACAGACUACAGUCUCAGUCUGAGGGAGUUUCAAGGCUCCAAAGCCCAUCCACAGGAAACAGCAAACUCUGUGAGAAAGUCUGGAAAUAGGCCAUGCAGUUAUCGUCAAGAUAACCAAGCCGACGGGAACAAGAUGAGGAAGCCACAUCUGUGAGGAGGGACUCAAACCUCUAUCGCCUGACACCCAGACCCCUUUUCUGUUGCCUAUUUGUUACAUAAGCUGCCAAAUAUCUUCUCUGCUCCCAGAAGUGUGCUUUGUUAAUUGAGAAGCACGGGAAUUCUGUGUGUUUAAUUCUUGAGGUUAUCAGGAGACUGAAGCCUGAAGUCAUCCCACAACCUUGGAGGAUAAGGUGAAAACUGUCCUCUUGGAUAAAUGACAGCGGAAGGAUCCUUCCACUAAACAGGCCUCUGUAAAUAUAAAACAGUUGCUGGAAAAUUAUAUUAGAGAUGAAUUAUCUCCUCCAUUACAGUGUUUCCUUUUCUUUAAUGCAAUUUAGUUCAAGCUAGAGGAACAAAGUCUGGGGAGCCGCAUUUCAGGGCUUCGGGGGAGUUACUGGAAGCGAAGACGCCCGGC